AACUCUCAAUUAAGCUAGGAUCCUUCUCCUUGUUCUGAUUCUAAUUUCCCCAUUUUUGAAACCGUAACACUCUCACCCUUACUCUGAUUAUACUUUGUUUCUCUUCCAUGUGCUUGUUUUAAUCAUGGUUGCCUAUAUUUUUGUUGCUCAGCCCCUUUUUGGCUCCUAUUUCAUGCUACAAUUAGGUCGAGUAUUGAAGCUGGUGCUGCCAUGGGACGGUUGAAGCCAUUACUGAUUCUGAUUUUGUUAUCUGGUGCUGCGAAGGCUAAUAUUGUUGCUGUUCCGGUUGCGUGAGAGUUACCGCUGCUGCCCUGAAACUAAAAGAGAAGAGAGUUGUUACGUUAAAGUAUGCGAUUGCGA